AUUAAACGCUGGCGGCAUGCCUUACACAUGCAAGUCGAACGGCAGCACGGGGGCAACCCUGGUGGCGAGUGGCGGACGGGUGAGUAAUACAUCGGAACGUGCCCUGGAGUGGGGGAUAACGCAGCGAAAGCUACGCUAAUACCGCAUAUUCUGUGAGCAGGAAAGCAGGGGAUCGCAAGACCUUGCGCUUUGGGAGCGGCCGAUGUCGGAUUAGCUAGUUGGUGGGGUAAAGGCCUACCAAGGCGACGAUCCGUAGCGGGUCUGAGAGGAUGAUCCGCCACACUGGGACUGAGACACGGCCCAGACUCCUACGGGAGGCAGCAGUGGGGAAUUUUGGACAAUGGGCGGAAGCCUGAUCCAGCCAUGCCGCGUGAGUGAAGAAGGCCUCGGUUGU
rnacentral:rRNA from 1 species